rnacentral:rRNA from 1 species
GAUGGGCUCGAAGCUAACGCGAUAAAUCGACGCUGGGGGAGUACGGCCGCAAGGUUAAAACUCAAAUGAAUGACGGGGCCCGCACAGCGGUGGAGCAUGUGGUUUAUUCGAUGCAACGCGAAGAACCUUACCUGGUCUUGACAUCCAUAGAAUUCUGCAGAGAUGUGGGAGUGCCUUCGGGAACUAUGAGACAGGUGCCGCAUGGCGUCGUCAGCUCGUGUUGUGAAAUGUUGGGUUAAGUCCCGCAACGAGCGCAACCCCUAUUCUUUGUUGCCAGCGAUUUGGUCGGGAACUCAAAGGAGACUGCCGUUGAUAAAGCGGAGGAAGGUGGGGACGACGUCAAGUCAUCAUGGCCCUUACGACCAGGGCUACACACGUGCUACAAUGGCGUAUACAAAGGGAAGCGAAGGUGCGAGCUGGAGCGGAUCUCAUAAAGUACGUCUAAGUUCGGAUUGGAGUCUGCAACUCGACUCCAUGAAGUCGGAAUCGCUAGUAAUCGUAGAUCAGAAUGCUACGGUGAAUACGUUCCCGGGCCUUGUACACACCGCCCGUCACACCAUGAGAGUGGGUUGCACCAGAAGUAGAUAGCUUAACCGCGAGGGGGGCGUUUACCACGGUGUGAUUCAUGACUGGGGUAAAGUCGUAACAAGGUAACCA